CUGCAUGGCUGUCGUCAGCUCGUAUCGUGAGAUGUUGGGUUAAGUCCCGCAACGAGCGCAACCCUUGUCAUUAGUUGCUACAUUCAGUUGGGCACUCUAAUGAGACUGCCGGUGACAAACCGGAGGAAGGUGGGGAUGACGUCAAGUCCUCAUGGCCCUUAUAGGUGGGGCUACACACGUCAUACAAUGGAUGGUACAAAGGGUCGCCAACCCGCGAGGGGGGAGCCAAUCCCAUAAAGCCAUUCGUAGUCCGGAUCGCAGUCUGCAACUCGACUGCGUGAAGUCGGAAUCGCUAGUAAUCGUGGAUCAGAAUGUCACGGUGAAUACGUUCCCGGGUCUU
rnacentral:rRNA from 1 species